rnacentral:lncRNA from 1 species
AGAAAUGAAGUACUAAAAGACAAGAACAAGAAAAGUCAAAGAAAGCAAUUCCUAAUUGCUCCUGACAUGCGCCGGAGAAGUCUUACUAAAAGCAUCCAAAAGAAACAUCAAAAGCUAAGCCUCCAGAGUAGUGCUAAUCCCCUGCAAUUUCUCGUUUUUAUCUAAUAAGUUUCCAGAUGUGCGGCGGCUCCCCAUUCGAAAGGAAGACUUCGGCCAAAUUACCCAAAAAGGGCUCGCGUCUCUUUUGUUCCCAAAAUGCCCCUGAAUGCCUUCUAUUUGUAUUCU